rnacentral:misc_RNA from 1 species
GAUGAAGAACGCAGCGAAAUGCGAUAAGUAAUGUGAAUUGCAGAAUUCAGUGAAUCAUCGAAUCUUUGAACGCACAUUGCGCCCCUUGGUAUUCCGAGGGGCAUGCCUGUUCGAGCGUCAUUAUAACCCCUCAAGCUCAGCUUGGUGUUGGGGCCUGCCGCACGGGCAGCCCUUAAAAUCAGUGGCGGUGCCAUCUGGCUCUAAGCGUAGUAAUUCUUCUCGCUAUAGAGUCCCGGUGGAUGCUUGCCAUUAACCCCCAAUUUUCUAUGGUUGACCUCGGAUCAGGUAGGGAUACCCGCUGAACUUAAGCAUAUCAAAAGCGGAGA